GGAGAGGUGGCCGAGUGGCUGAAGGCGCUCCCCUGCUAAGGGAGUAUACGGCUUAAACCGUAUCGAGGGUUCGAAUCCCUCCCUCUCCG
rnacentral:tRNA from 2 species